rnacentral:rRNA from 1 species
AGUGAACGCUGGCGGUAGGCCUAACACAUGCAAGUCGAACGGCAGCACAGUAAGAGCUUGCUCUUACGGGUGGCGAGUGGCGGACGGGUGAGGAAUACAUCGGAAUCUACUUUUUCGUGGGGGAUAACGUAGGGAAACUUACGCUAAUACCGCAUACGACCUACGGGUGAAAGCAGGGGAUCUUCGGACCUUGCGCGAUUGAAUGAGCCGAUGUCGGAUUAGCUAGUUGGCGGGGUAAAGGCCCACCAAGGCGACGAUCCGUAGCUGGUCUGAGAGGAUGAUCAGGCACACUGGAACUGAGACACGGUCCAGACUCCUACGGGAGGCAGCAGUGGGGAAUAUUGGACAAAGGGCGCAAGCCUGAUCCAGCCAUACCGCGUGAGUGAAGAAGGCCUUCGGGUUGUAAAGCCCUUUUGUUGGGAAAGAAAAGCAGCAGGUUAAUACCCCGCUGUUCUGACGGUACCCAAAGAAUAAGCACCGGCUAACUUCGUG